rfam:Mycobacterium tuberculosis H37Rv complete genome.
ACGGAAGCCCGGUGAGGCCAAGGCUCGAUCCAGAAGAGAAGGUUCGGUCUCCCGACCCGGGCGCCCAGCAUGGUUCCCGGCACCCACGCGGAGUCAUAGCCACGAUAACGGCAGAAGUGUUGCGGGUCUGCGUAAUUGCGAACAGCAGAUGGCAUCGACGGCCCUUUGGGUGGGGCUACAGCUAGAAGCGUCGCAAGAUCGCCGAGGCCACCCACGCAACCCCAGGAGUGCACGCUUGGUAACCGAGAACCGUGUUGGUGGGCGGCGAUUCGAGUUCUUCGGGUCGCCGCCUGCUUUUUGUU